AGUAACACGUAUGCAAUCCACCUGUAACAGGGGGAGUAACCCGGAGAAAUCCGGACUAAUACCCCAUAAUAUGGGCGCUCCGCAUGGAGAGCCCAUUAAAGAGAGCAAUUUUGGUUACAGACGAGCAUGCGCUCCAUUAGCCAGUUGGCGGGGUAACGGCCCACCAAGGCGACGAUCAGUAGCCGGACUGAGAGGUUGACCGGCCACAUUGGGACUGAGACACGGCCCAG
rnacentral:rRNA from 1 species